UCCUACGGGAGGCAGCAGUGGGGAAUUUUCCGCAAUGGGCGCAAGCCUGACGGAGCAACGCCGCGUGAGGGAAGACGGUCUGUGGAUUGUAAACUUCUUUUCUCUGUGAAGAUAAUGACGGUAGCAGAGGAAUCAGCAUCGGCUAACUCCGUGCCAGCAGCCGCGGUAAUACGGAGGAUGCGAGCGUUAUCCGGAAUGAUUGGGCGUAAAGCGUCUGCAGGUGGUCAAUCAAGUCUUAUGUUAAAGAGCGGGGCUUAACUCUGUGAGGGCAUAGGAAACUGAUGGACUAGAGUACAGUAGGGGUCACGGGAAUUCCCGGUGUAGCGGUGAAAUGCGUAGAUAUCGGGAAGAACACCAGCGGCGAAAGCGCGUGACUGGGCUGAGACUGACACUCAUGGACGAAAGCUAGGGGAGCGAAAGGGAUUAGAUACCCCUGUAGUCCUAGCUGUAAACGAUGGCAACUAGGUGUUGGCCGUAUCGACCCGGUCAGUGCCGAAGCUAACGCGUUAAGUUGCCCGCCUGGGGAGUACGCUUGCAAGAGUGAAACUCAAAGGAAUUGACGG
rnacentral:rRNA from 1 species